rnacentral:rRNA from 1 species
ACGGGAGGCAGCAGUGAGGAAUAUUGGUCAAUGGACGGAAGUCUGAACCAGCCAAGUCGCGUGAAGGAUGAAGGUAUUAUGUAUUGUAAACUUCUUUAGCAGUGGAGUAAUAAGGGGAUCGCGAUCCCUGAUGCAAGUACACUGAGAAUAAGGAUCGGCUAACUCCGUGCCAGCAGCCGCGGUAAUACGGAGGAUCCGAGCGUUAUCCGGAUUUAUUGGGUUUAAAGGGUGCGUAGGCGGGCUGUUAAGUCAGCGGUGAAACCCCCGGGCUCAACCCGGGGACUGCCAUUGAAACUGGCGGCCUUGAGUACGUUGGGAGUGCGCGGAAUGUGUGGUGUAGCGGUGAAAUGCAUAGAUAUCACACAGAACACCGAUCGCGUAGGCAGCGCACUACGCCGCAACUGACGCUGAGGCACGAAGGCGCGGGGAUCGAACAGGAUUAGAUACCCUGGUA